rnacentral:rRNA from 1 species
GACGAACGCUGGCGGCGUGCUUAACACAUGCAAGUCGAACGGACAGGCCCUGCUUUUGUUGGUUUCUCGAUUGGCGAACGGGUGAGUAACACGUGAGUAACCUGCCCUUGUCUUUGUGAUAACUUCAGGAAACUGGGGCUAUUACCGGAUAGGAGCUCCUGCUGCAUGGUGUGGGUUGGAAAGUUUCGGCGUUUGGGGCUGGACUCGCGGCUUAUCCGCUUGUUGGUGGGGUAGUGGCUUUCCAAGGCUUUGACGGGUAGCCGGCCUGAGAGGGUUACCGGCCACAUGAGGACUGAGAUACGGCGCAGACUGCUACGGGAGGCAGCAGUGGGGAACAUUGCACAAUGGGCGGAAGCCUGAUGCAGAAACGCCGGGUGCGGGAUGACGGCCUUCGGGUGGUAAACCGAUGUGGCAUGAGACGAAGAGUGAGUGACGGUAAUGGGUAAAGAAGCACCGGCUAACUACGUG